GUGGGUGAGACGGGGUUCAGUGGAGUGGGGGAGACAGGGUUCAGUUGAGUGGGGGAGACAGGGUUCAGUGGAGUGGGGGAGACAGGGUUCAGUGGGUGUGGGGGAGACAGGGUUCAGUUGAGUGGGGGAGACAGGGUUCAGUGGAGUGGGGGAGACAGGGUUCAGUUGAGUGGGGGAGACAGGGUUCAGUGGAGUGGGGGAGACAGGGUUCAGUGGAGUAGGGGAGACAGGGUUCAGUGGAGUGGGGGAGACAGGGUUCAGUGGAGUUGGGGAGACAGGGUUCAGUGGAGUGGGGGAGACAGGGUUCAGUGGAGUGGGGGAGACAGGGUUCAGUGGAGUGGGUGAGACGGGGUUCAGUGGAGUGGGGGA
ensembl:lncRNA